rnacentral:rRNA from 1 species
GACGAACGCUGGCGGCAUGCUUUACACAUGCAAGUCGAACGGCAGCACGGGGGCAACCCUGGUGGCGAGUGGCGAACGGGUGAGUAAUGCAUCGGAACGUGCCCCGUCGUGGGGGAUAACACAUCGAAAGAUGUGCUAAUACCGCAUACGACCUGAGGGUGAAAGCGGGGGACCGCAAGGCCUCGCGCGAUGGGAGCGGCCGAUGUCUGAUUAGCUAGUUGGUGGGGUAAAGGCCCACCAAGGCGACGAUCAGUAGCUGGUCUGAGAGGACGACCAGCCACACUGGGACUGAGACACGGCCCAGACUCCUACGGGAGGCAGCAGUGGGGAAUUUUGGACAAUGGGGGCAACCCUGAUCCAGCCAUGCCGCGUGCGGGAAGAAGGCCUUCGGGUUGUAAACCGCUUUUGGCAGGAACGAAACGGUGCGGGCGAAUACCCUGUGCUAAUGACGGUACCUGCAGAAUAAGCACCGGCUAACUACGUGCCAGCCGCCGCCGUAA